UUGAGCCUUAUGGCUCCGAUACUGGGAGACGUGGUCGUAAGACUCCUCGGGAGUCAGAUACUCUCGAGGAGCGAGAAAGGAAGCGGCUGCGGGACUUAUUUGCAGAACCAUCUGACGAGGAUUCCUUUGAGGGUUUUACUGAGAGAAUGGAGGAAGAGAUGGUUAGCUCAGAGGAGGAUGACAUGGAAUGGACUCGUGUGAGGGAGGAGUUGGGUGCCACUGGCAAUGAUAGUAUGGAAAGCGAUUGGGGACCUUCAGGAUUAGACCCGUGGACAAGCUGGAGGGAUGGGACGGGAUCCACAGCUGGGGAUGCUGUGGGGCGUAGUCAAAGGUGUUUCAGUUCUGAUGAGGAAAGUGAUGAGGAAACGCCUGGAAUUAGGGUAACAGCUGAUAGUGAUGAGGAGCUGUAAACUGGCAUAAAAUGGGGUUUGGAAGCAAUGGCUAAUUGCGUUGGGCAAGGUAAUCUGGACGAACGCUUGGGCUCUGUGUGGGAAAUUCCUGAAGACGGGUGUGAUUCGUUUGCUGACUACCUUGGACCUCCGUCGUCUUCUUGACGGACGCCAUCUGUUUAUUCUGGACUGACUGACUGACUGACUGACUGACUGACUACGGCCUCGGACUCUCCUUCCUGUGAUUAUCGUUGGACCUGGUGAACUACAAACGUCUGUACCUGCCUUACGACCUUCGGACCGGAUUGGAACUUUGCUGACCGCUUCUGCCCUUGAAUGCUGCGUUUGUAUCUGGAAAUUGCUUGCUGUGUGGAGGAGUAACCUCUUAGUUACUCAAACAUAGCUUUUGGCAGCAGAGAAGCAUCUGCUGCCAGUUUUUUGUAUUCCUUUGAACCUUUUGUUCACCAGCUUUUGUUUGUUUUAGUCCCAGGCUGAAGUAAGCUUUUUUGGUUUAACCCGGAUUAAACUCCGGUUUAAUCCGGUUUAUCUUUUGAACGUUUUCCUUGUGUCUUUUUACUUUUAAGGCCAAUGUUUGCCUAGCCCUUGUCUUUUACGGGCAUUUUUGGUUCUGUAACUCCAAUAAACUUUGUUAUAUCUUA